rnacentral:rRNA from 1 species
GACGAACGCUGGCGGCGUGCCUAAUACAUGCAAGUCGAGCGAAGCGGCGGAUGGGUGAGUAACGCGUGGGUAACCUGCCCUUAAGUCUGGGAUAGCAUUUGGAAACAGAUGCCAAUACCGGAUCAUCAAGGAUGGGCCGUCGAUGCAUUAGCUAGUUGGUAAGGUAACGGCUUACCAAGGCGAUGAUGCAUAGCUGAGUUGAGAGACUGAUCGGCCACAUUGGGACUGAGACACGGCCCAAACUCCUACGGGAGGCAGCAGUAGGGAAUCUUCCACAAUGGACGAAAGUCUGAUGGAGCAACGCCGCGUGAGUGAAGAAGGUUUUCGGAUCGUAAAGCGCUGUUGUUGGUGAAGCGGUAAUCAACCAGAAAGUCACGGCUAACUACGUGCCAGCAGCCGCGGUAAUAC